GAGGGCAAUAGAGGAAUGUGACCGGAGCAGUUUGUCAGCCCUCCAGUCAGGCAGCGCUGACGUCACCCCCUGGAAUAAACUUCCCACAAUGCAUCAGGGGGGCUGGCACGACAGGACGGGACCGGGGUGGCUGGACCGGAUCCCCGCUGGGUCCGGGGUGGUGUAUUCAGGGCCGUGGAGCUAGGGGGCGGCCCCCAGAGCUGCUGCUGCUGCUGGUGCUGGUGGUGGGGCCCAGAAGCAGCGUUCCUGAACUCCUUCUGCAGCCGUGGUCCCUGAAGCUGCUGCUCUGACAUCAGCGUUCUAGAAGACGGUUCCUGGGUUCUGGUUCUGUCGUAUUACUCCGGUCAAACAGCGACACCGCGGCCACAGGAGGAACUGCAGCGGAGCGCCGCAUGCGCACUGCGGCUCGCUGCUCCACUGAGUGUGUUUGGGUUAAAAGUCGUGUUUUGAGACACAAAGUUAAAAACUCCUAAUGUGGGACAGAAACGUGUCCGCGGAGGAUCUGCGGGGAGCAGCAGGAGUCUCUCUGCGGCCCGCUGGAGGACUUUAUCCGGACACACGAGCCGGAACAGCCGGUGUUAAAGAUUAAUUGGUGUGCAGAUUAUCUGGUGACAUUCAGGGAGCGACGCAGCUCCAACGAUGCAGACCACAGGCGACUGUAGCGAUGCCUGUUCUAAACACACAGACGUCCGUAAAGUGUUGUAAAUGUUCCUGUUUUCGGCUUUAACGUGGGUUCCACAGGUCGUUGUUGUUCUGUUCAGUCCAGCAGUAAAAUCCUGGUUUAAAGAGUGGAAACAGCGUUUAGCUGCAGCAGAUUAACUAGAGACAGAAACAGAAGUUCUGCUGCUAUAUGUGAGCAGAAGAGGAUGAAAUUAACUUAUAAUUAACAACAUAAACACAUUUAUAUUAGAUCAGAGAAUUUUAAGUAUUUAAUAAACAAGUCUGAUAUUUUUAUGGCUUUGUUGUUUGAUGAUGAUGUUAUUGUAUUAAAGUACUGUUUGAGUUCA